rnacentral:rRNA from 1 species
UACGGGGGGGGCAAGCGUUGUUCGGAAUUACUGGGCGUAAAGGGUGCGUAGGCGGCUUUCUAAGUCGGAUGUGAAAUCCCCAGGCUUAACCUGGGAACUGCAUCCGAUACUGGAUGGCUUGAAUUCGGGAGAGGGAUGCAGAAUUCCAGGUGUAGCGGUGAAAUGCGUAGAUAUCUGGAGGAAUACCGGUGGCGAAGGCGGCAUCCUGGACCGAGAUUGACGCUGAUGAGCGAAAGCUAGGGGAGCAAACGGG